GCAACGAGCGCAACCCUUGUCUUAGUUACCAUCAUUAAGUUGGGGACGUCUAGAGAGACUGCCGGUGAUAAACCGGAGGAAGGUGGGAGUGACGUCAAAUCAUCAUGCCCCUUAUGGCCUGGGCUACAAACGUAAUACAAUGGCGUAUACAAAGGGAUGCGAAAGAGCGAUCUGGAGCAAAACUCAUAAAGUACGUCUCAGUUCGGAUUGAAGUCUGCAACUCGACUUCAUGAAGCUGGAAUCGCUAGUAAUCGCGGAUCAGCAUGCCGCGGUGAAUACGUUCUCGGGGUUU
rnacentral:rRNA from 1 species